UCUGUACACAAAUCAUAUGCACGCUUGUCUGGGCCAAGACAGGAAUAGGAGUUGCACAGGAGUGUGCGCGCUGGAGAAUGUACUUGCGUUUUUUUCUUCUUUUUACUGCAGUUUCUUUUUCUUUAGUGCUGACAAGUCUUCAGAUUACUGGCACACAUGCGCUCGUGCGGAUCAGCUGGUGAGCGCGUGCAGUAAAAUGUACUUCUGGUUUCCAAGUCUUCAGGUUACUGCCACGCAUGCGGAUGCGCUGAUCAGCUGGCCAGCACACAUGUUCACACUGGAAAAUGGAAGACCAGCUCUGACACAAGCACAAAGGCCAGCUGAAACCUGGAAGAGGAACGGGUGCCGCCACACAUGCCAAGUGACAUGGUUCUGCGUGCCACUAUGGGCGCACGUGCCAUAGAUUCGCAUCAUGGGAAUAAUGCCUGAAUAUUGCUAUUCAACAUUAUCCUAUACGAAGCAGACUUUGAAUUCAAUGUUGUAACUGAAUAUUACAGUGCUGAGAAUAAGAAGAGUACCGUGAACCUUCUUUCCUCCUUUAAACACAGCCAAUUCUGAAGAAUAUUAUUAUCUGGGAUAGCUUGUACUUUAAUUGGCUCUAAAGUAUUCUUCAAGCAUCCACCUGAACUGAUUAAGAUUUUAAGCCAGAAGAUAAAAACAUUUGCCACCACAACCCCUGCAAAUGUCUUCUCAGGAGAAUCCACAAACAUAAAACUGGAUUGUGAGUAGGACUCUUGUAUCAUUCCUCUCCAGGCAUCAUGAUAAAUAUAAGCAAGAGAUUUGCAGAAGACCUAGAUACCAAAAUAAAGAAUGGGAAGUUCAAGGUUUAAGAUUGAACUCAAUCUAUUACAAUGACUUAUUAUUGUUUACUUUAUAUCAUUUGUUUAAUUAACUAAAAUUGUAAAUUACCAGCUGGAUAGCCGUUACAUGGAACAGGCAUAAGAGUGUUUUCACUAAGAUUGGACACAGCUACAAUACAAUAAAAACUUCAUGUGUACAUGUUUAAGCACAAGUAAAAGUAAAUAAAUAUUUUCUAUCAAUAGGAGUACUGUCUUCAUUGCAUCCUAGGUAACUUUCUAAUACAGCUUUCCACAUGAUCCAAGUCUUGUUUUAGUUCAGCCUAUAGACAGAUACAAUACAUGGAGCAGCAUUCAAGAAAACUUUGGUGAAUUUGCAAAAUGCUUAAGAUUAACUAACUCAUCCACAUUUACUGAAGCAAGACACUCCAAGGUUGGAAAACAGAGUAUAAGUGCUAUUAAUUCCUUGAUGUGUGAUAGGAUUCAGUUGUCUCGUGCUAAGGAUGUAUAUAACAUAUUUGGAAAAGUUACAUCUAUUCCAUAAUUGCUCAGCCCUUGUCCUGAGAUAAUCCUGGGCUACCAUUAAAGUGGCAAAAUUGAUGCCUUGUAUUUUAAAUACUUUAUCUACUUACAAAUGAUUUUUAUUUAGUCUUAAUUGUGUUAAGAAAUACAAGAUUUCCUAUUAGUGAUUGUUGUAUCUUUCUAGAUAAGUUUAAAUUGUUUACACUGAAUAGUGAUCAUGAUCCCACUCCCAUCGGGUAGGCUCAUUCCAUUAAGUUAAAGACAAAGGAAAAAGCACUAUGGUUGUAUAUGGCUUCCAAAAUAUUUUUUCUAGGUAUAACUUUAAUUGCAAGUGCAGAUAUUCUCUAAACCCCCCCAUCCCAGUAACAAGCAUUCAGAUGACUUUUCUGCCCACAGUGUUUCCAUAGCUACAACUGGUCUUAAUGUUAUUACUAGAACCAUGAAGGCAUCCAAAUGUUUUCCUCCUAAAAAUAUGAAUGGCUGCAUAGUCCUAGUUACUAUUCAAAAUGGUAAUAUGAUGAGAUCCUAUAAAAUUCAUCUUAUUCUUGCUAUUUAUCAUUAGGAUUUCUGUUUUAGGCAACACUUCUGUGUAAAACGUAAAAGAUUCAAAACAUUACUUUGAUUCAAAAAAUUGAACUUUUAAACUUUAAUCUAUCAGUCUAAGUGAAUGAAUAACUUUCAGUAAACCUUAAGCAUACAUAUAUCUAAAACACUGAAAUAUACAAAAUUGUAGACUAGAACAUCUUGGUUUUCAUUUGGAAUGCUACACCUAAUCCAAGGUAAGACAAUGUUUCACAGUGAGGUCGUAAUACAGGGCUUUAAUUGCUAACUUAAAUGCUGAUCUGUCAAAUAACAUUGAAAAAUUUCAUUACUUCUGAUGAGAACCUUAAAUACUAUAUACUCUGAUUCACCAGGUUUCUAUUAAUACCUAAUCUAAUUCAGAACUAAUUAACAAUUGCAUAUUUAGCAAGUAGUGUUACUUAUCUUCAUAUCUAAAUUAAAGGCAUACCAGUACAGUAGCAACAAGCUAUUUUAACUAGAAAAGAGAACCAGCAUGGAAGAAAUGAAUAAUUAUUUUCUUUAUUAGUAACUUAUCAAGAUAGGAAGAGGCAAUAUAGUUUAUUAUAUUUGUAUUACCUGUGUCAGUGGGACAGUAUUUAUUAAUAUGUUAAUCCAAGUGAAAAAAAUUAAAAUCUGUUUAAUUUUCUUAGAAAAAAUCACUACCUUAACAUGUAUUCUUUAAUCUCUUCACCUCAAAUGUCUGACUUUUUAAAUCAUUCUUCAUGCUCAAUUCUUUCUAUUCCUUUCUGGUGUUUUGAACAAAACCUGCUGCUUAUGUUUCUGUCCACAGAAUAAAAAAUUCUGAAGCAAAGUACAUUUUCUCUAUCCAAAACAUUUUUUAAAAAAUCUGACAUUCUACCCUUCCUCCAUAAUUUGUAAUAAUCUAACUUUAUUUCCUAGAAGAUGUUAUUAUAUCAGAACACCGCACUACGUGCUGAGCACUAACAAGACUGAAAUAUCAGAUGGCCUUAAGAACACCAAGAAUUGCCAAAAUAAUUUUUAAAAUUCUUUUUAAAAAAAAGCUAACUCCAAGCAAUGGCCCUGUGCAGAAUGAACAGGACAAUAGUCUCAGAAAUAUGAGUAUCACUACAAAAAAAAGAAAUACACAAAAGAGAUGACAGCUAACCUGAACAAAAAUCUUGGAAAAACAAGGAUUUUCUAUAAGUAUGCUAUAAUAUUUUAUACAAAUCUUACCAAUAUAUUAUGCAUUUCCAUUUUAUUGGAUAAACAAUUCAGUUUUAUAAAAAAUAUUUCUUUAGAUUUCAGUUCUAAAUUUUUCAAAACAUAAAUUGACAAGAACUCCUAACCUGAGUUUGGUAUUAUCUAAACAGCCCAAAGAAGUUAAUGAAUUUUCCAGUAACAUUUAAAAGAAUUUCAGAUAGUCAGUUUGCAAAGCCACGAUUUUUACCUGCUAUUCUUAUCAUAUAGAAUAGAAUAGAAUAGAAUUUUUUAUUGGUCAAGUGUGAUUGGACACACAAGGAAUUUGUCUUGGUGCAUAUGCUCUCAGUGUACAUAAAAGAAAUGUUCAUCAAGAAUCAUAAGGUUAUAUUAGCAAAAGUGUUAUAAUGAAUCUAUGACACAAUGUUUCACUUAUUCAUGUAUGCAUCAUUGAACAAGCAGAAAAGCUUCCUGGUCUUAUACCAUUCACAUUUAAUGUUACAAAUCAUGCUCACCUUAUUA